GUCUGCACUUGUCGGGGAAGGAUGAGAAGCUUCGACUAAGGUUCGAUUCGAGCGCAGCGAGAAAGCGUUGCCGCAGGCAACGGCCCGUAGGGUGAGGAGCGAAGCGACGAAUAAUCCUUCCCCCACCACCA
rnacentral:sRNA from 1 species